rnacentral:rRNA from 1 species
UACGGAGGGUGCAAACGUUGCUCGGAAUCAUUGGGCGUAAAGCGCACGUAGGCGGUCGGCUAUGUCGGAUGUGAAAGCCCCGGGCUUAACCCGGGAAGGGCAUCCGAAACUGGCCGGCUUGAGUACGGAAGAGGGUCUCGGAAUUCCCGGUGUAGAGGUGAAAUUCGUAGAUAUCGGGAGGAACACCAGUGGCGAAGGCGGAGACCUGGGCCGAUACUGACGCUGAGGUGCGAAAGCGUGGGGAGCAAACAGG